UACGAAGGGGGCUAGCGUUGCUCGGAAUUACUGGGCGUAAAGGGAGCGUAGGCGGAUAGUUUAGUCAGAGGUGAAAGCCCAGGGCUCAACCCUGGAAUUGCCUUUGAUACUGGGGAUCUCGAGUCCGGAAGAGGUUGGUGGAACUGCGAGUGUAGAGGUGAAAUUCGUAGAUAUUCGCAAGAACACCAGUGGCGAAGGCGGCCAACUGGUCCGGUACUGACGCUGAGGUGCGAAAGCGUGGGGAGCAAACAGG
rnacentral:rRNA from 1 species